UGCUGGUAGAAACUCUUCAAAGCAUCUACUUUGUAACCUGGACUAUGUCUAUUGAGGCAUGAGAGUGCAGUUUCCUUCUUCUUCCUUUCUUAAAUAAGACUAAACUUCUUGGAAACAAAGAAACAAGUGCCCCCCAUCCCCGCCCUACCCCCGAUAGUAUGAAGUGAUUUUGUUAUUAACCUCUUAUUUAAUUUGAUUUUCUCUUAUUUGGUUUGGGAUGUGUCCAGUCUAUCCCUUGUAACUUAUAUCUAGUCAACUAUUGCAGAUUGGAUCUUGCUGUCUUGAAUUCUUGGUAUUCUCAUCUGCUUGGGGUUUUCCCAAUCUUUGGAUCUGAUAGGUGAAUAGUGGAUACUUGGUGGAGAUGUAGGACUAGCUAUUUGCUUUCAUAACUCUGGCUUGAGCUAGGAUAAAUGAAGAAAGAUCAGUGUUUUUAAAGGCAGAAAGCGCAAAAAAGCAGCAAGGUCCAUGUGACUUAAAGAGAAGAGCAUGAAAUGAAGCACAUGCUUAAUACAUAUAAGUUCAGUACUAUAAUUAUCUGAGAAAUUAAAAGUUGCAGAGAUGCCAAGUGAAGUGUACCCAUAAAUCUAUGGGCUCGUGACAGGAUUCAGUGGCCAACAGGCAUAUUUCUGCAGAGGUGUUGAAAUAGUGAAGAGGGGAGAGAAGCGGAGAAGAUGUUGUCCUUUUAAUUGCAUGUCUUCGAUCUAGCUCAAUUUUUUAUCUGGGCAAAGGAAGGGGGAAGCAGAGUUUGACUUUUCUAAUAGAUUAAAACAUUAUUGAUGUCUUAGUUAAUCUGUGGUGCCAAAUUCGUAUUUCUGUUUGUGUCAGAAGUUCAUUUCAGCUAUGCUGAGGAGUACUACCCUUUUUAAUAUUACCUUAUUCCUGUGUUUAAUUUUAGAUACCUUCAUGAGUAAAAAUACUCUCGCUGAACAGAAUAAUAGCCUCCUGCAGUCUGAAUCCAGCUCAUAUCCAUAUUUAAAAAGAAGUCAAAAUUAAUUAUUAGUUUUGCACUAUAUGUUUGGGAUAUCCGUUGUCAGUGCUCUUACUGCGGUUGCUUAUCCUUCUUAACUUUUUUUCAACAGUGAGCUCUAUAUGCACUGCACCAAUGAAGACAGGAACAUCAACUCUGAAUCCUUAUGCAGAAUCAUAUGUCCUUACCUUUUUUUCAACAGUGAGCUCUAUAUGCACUGCACCAAUGAAGACAGGAACAUCAACUCUGAAUCCUUAUGCAGAAUCAUAUGUGCCUAUUUUGAGAAGAGGGGCACCUGAUGGAAACAAA
rnacentral:lncRNA from 1 species